UUACAAGAGACAAUUGACUUUUUAGAUACAUUGAAUAAUGUAUGUAUCUAGUCAAGAAUCUAAACCAAAUACAUAAAUUAUUCAAUGUAUCUAAAAAGUAAAUUGUCUCUUGUAA
rfam:Medicago truncatula strain A17 chromosome 3, whole genome shotgun sequence.